GUCAGCUAAAACUGCCGAGGGAUCUCGUUUGCUUGUUUUCGAAAGUUAGGGGAUGGGUCGUACCCGGUUUUGUAGUCAAGGAUGAAAAUCGGAUUACGUGACGAAUAGAGGGACCCAAAGUGAAUCCCAGCCAAACCGUGUCACAUCUAAUCCUACUCCCAACUCGACAUAAGUUAUCAGAAAAUGAGAGAUGGGCCGGGCCCUAAUGAGCUAUACGAGCAGGCCGAUAAACGGGCCGUAAGUGGGCCGAGGUUACAAAAUAUGCGGGCCCGAACGGAAUUCCCUCCUCUCUCGUUCUUUUCCGGUUCCUUCUUUUCCCCGACGCAGCGGCCGCGUGGGGUGGUGACAUGGGCGGCGGCGGCGACGAAAGGGGAGAGUGGGAGGCGGCGGUGAGGGAGGAGGUGGGGGUCGGCGGGUGGUGGGACGAUCCCGACGGCGACGAGCUCCGCGCCAGGUUCAAGGCCUUCACGGGGCAGCGCCGCGACUGGCCCCAGCCCAAGCUCCUCUUCUGGAAGGGCCUCCUCCUCCGCGUCGCGCGCCGCCUCCGCCUCUGCUCCGCCCCCGCGCGCCUCGUGCUGGGUGUUUGGUUCGCGCGCCCUGGUGGCCUCACGCCGCUGUGCUUGCCGCAGGUUCUGGAAGAGAUGCGUGCCGAUGGGGAGAUUCUGCUCAAAUCGGAGCUAAUCGAUCCGACUACAGGGAGCUUGUAUCAGCUAGUCAGGAGGAUGAGCCAGAUGGCUGUCAUCUCAAAGCAGCCGAUUGCGCAGGACGACAUCCUCGUGUUUAAAUCGUUGAUUGAGGAACGGGCUGCUGAAAUUGUUGAUCAGCUGAGGAACUCUCAUUGGACGUCAACGUGCAUUGUUACUAUUAGUAAAUUCAAUGCCUUCUUCCAUGGGCAGGAGGAUUCUCAUGUUGCAUUAUGUUACUUGACACAAUGUGGGAAAGCACGGUAUAUUGUUGAUAGGAGGCAAGAUUCUGUUGAGGGUGUGAAGUUUUCGCUCAUGGCUGCACAAGUUCCUGCUGUCUCAAAGCUUGACCACAACACAUUGCACUUAAUUUUGACGGAAGAAAAGUUGCAGCAGCAGCUUGAUGUACUUGAUCGCCAAUGGCAAAUUUCAAGAAGGAGGGCAUUGGUAUCCUUCAAAUCUGGGGAUAAACAGUCAGCUUAUCGAUAUGUGCGGCAGUCUAAGUUGUUCUCAGAAAGCAGGAAAAGAUUCACACCACUGCUGGAGAGGGUUGAAGAAGUUAUAAGCCUAAUUGCUAGUGCUGAAACAACUAAGAAGGUUAAUGAGGCAAUCAAAGUCAGUAUUCAGGCGAUGAAUGAGCAUCAUGUGAGCGUAGAGGAGGUUAACGAGCACCUAAAGGAGGUUGAUGACCUUGUUGCAACACAAAGAGAAAUUGAUGCUGCCUUAGGAUCAGUAAUACUCCAGUCAAUGGAUUCUGAAGAAAAUAUCGAGGAAGAAUUCAUGAAGCUGGAAGCAGAAUUGCAGGAUGAGUUUCCUCACGUUCAAGAAGAUCCAGUUUCACAUGCCAAUGAAGAAUUUCCUAAUGAUGAAGAUGUUGAUUCAUUGAGCAAUAACCUUUCAAACAUUAAACUCGAGGCCAUCUAGAUUUUCACUUAUUAAGUGCUACUUGUACAUAUCGUGAUCUAGUCACAUCUUUUGCCCCAUCAGUUCAGACCUUAUUAUUUCAUGAAGUGUGCUUAUUAUAAUGACAUAGCCAUAUUAUGUGUCAGCUCAUCUGAUCAUUGUUGCAAUAUGAAGGGUGGCUGCGAAGUAUGGAAGGACCUUAAUUCUUAACUAUGGAAUUGAUUGGUCAGUAAAUUGUUUUUCUCUGCGCGAUACUGACAUACGAGAAAUGGCUUGCUCCUUUACAAGAAAGGCCAGCAAUUGUAAAUGUAGAGGCACUGAAGAAUCUGUCUGGCUGGUGAGUCUGUUGAAUUAAGUCUUUUUUGGUGGGACCUGUUGGAUUGAAUCUACUUUAAUGUUUUUGUAACUUGUUUCUUUGUAUGGGAUGAGUGUGGUUGGACCCGGGUGUAAUAGGUGACCCAUUUUAGUUCAACUAAAACAAACUAAGUUCUAGUUUUGAACUCCUCAAAACGAUAUUUGGUUCAUUUAGUUGACCUAAGAUGGGGUCACCUAUUACCCAUGUGUCGACCCGCACCCGUCUCUUGCCAGUGCCAAUAAUUCGUCACAGGUUCAGGAUAUGAACAUAUACCCUUCAACUGACUAGUGUUUAGUUGUGUCCUUUGAACGAGUGUAUCAUGAAAAAACACUAGAAGUUUCCUGUAAGCAACGGCAUUGGAGCAUA